GACGAACGCUGGCGGCGUGCCUAAUACAUGCAAGUCGAACGCAUUUUCUUUCACCGUAGCUUGCUACACCGAAAGAAAAUGAGUGGCGAACGGGUGAGUAACACGUGGGUAACCUGCCCAUCAGCGGGGGAUAACACUUGGAAACAGGUGCUAAUACCGCAUAAUUCCAUUUACCGCAUGGUAAAUGGAUGAAAGGCGCUUUUGCGUCACUGAUGGAUGGACCCGCGGUGCAUUAGCUAGUUGGUGGGGUAACGGCCUACCAAGGCUGCGAUGCAUAGCCGACCUGAGAGGGUGAUCGGCCACACUGGGACUGAGACACGGCCCAGACUCCUACGGGAGGCAGCAGUAGGGAAUCUUCGGCAAUGGACGCAAGUCUGACCGAGCAACGCCGCGUGAGUGAAGAAGGUUUUCGGAUCGUAAACCUCUGUUGUUAGAGAAGAACAAGGAUGAGAGUGGAAAGUUCAUCCCUUGACGGUAUCUAACCAGAAAGCCACGGCUAACUACGU
rnacentral:rRNA from 1 species